GGUGUCCGGAGCUUAAUAGGGAAUCCGGUGUGAAUCCGGAGCAACAGCCAUUACUGUAUCGGAAGAAGGGGCGCCAGAAACCAUUGGGCAGACAGCCUGAGAAGGGGGCGCGCCGCGGGGAGAUCCCCUAUAUCCCAAGUCAGGAGACCUGUCAUAUUCUU
rnacentral:ncRNA from 1 species